CUUUCCGCAGGCAGUGAAUUUCUUCGUUUUUGUAUUCGAUAGGCGUUGCGUUCAGUGGCUAUGGUGGAAUAGUAAGACGCAAGCAAAACGAUUGAUCGAACUGGUGAUGUUUUUUUCUAUUUCCUUUCCUUUGCUUCUUUAUUAAUCAUCAAUGCCCUAAAAUAAUUCCAUAUAAUUUGGAAAUUUCAAGUUCCCCGAGCAUAAUUUAUACUCGAAGUUGUGUUUGAUUUUACUUUGCUUUGCUUCUGUCAAUAACUUGUAAAAUACCAUUUAUUGAUUGUACACUGAUGCGUUUUCAACAUAUUUCUCUGAAGAUUUACAAGUCAAUGACAACACCAAAGUUUCAAAUCACAUACAAUUAUUUAUUUGAAUACAAGUCAGAGUACAAACCCGUUAAUCACAAAAGCAUAAAUCAACAGUAGAUACUAAAUCACAACAAAGUUCACUCCCCAAUUCACAAAAUAUAGAACAGCUGCAGUUAACGAUGCAGAUUGCAGAAUAUAAUAAGCUUCUUAGUCAGUGCAGCAACGAUACAAGAAAAACCUCUCCAUCGAUCGCCCGCAUUCAGCGCAAACAACUCUCUCCGGCACACUUCCGGUGGUUCCGGGCAAAAUCAGGCGAUUGCAGUGAUGCGGCGGCUGGUUUGCCUCAAGAUGAUCAUUCAAAGCCGGCAGAAACCCUCUCUCUUGAGCAUCCCCUUGCCAAUCAUUGUAGUUCGUCAAUCCCUUCAAAACACUUUCGCCACUUGCCCUACGCAUCCAGUCGUUUGAGCCACGGCAGAUCACCGCCCAUCCCUGGUCGUUUCCGUCGUAGGUAAGCAUCACAUUAAUCUCUCUCAAAAUCGGAUCUUCCUCAAAAGACUUCCCGUGUUGUAACUUGGAGUGCAACAUGCUCUCUAGUCGCACCCAGAAGAACCAUAUCAGGGUCAAAUCUGGAAGCACGUAGCUAAGAUUCUCUGAUCGGAUUAUGUCAUUGUUCUUUCUCACUUUCUCCCUAGGGUUACUCUUUCCAACAUACAACAUCUCCAGCUGGAUCCCUGCUGCACGCGCCACCGCCUGUGCGGUGGUUGUAAACCUCCUUAUCCACUCCAAAUCCUCCCCUCCGUACAAACAAAUGUACUUCCCGUCAGCAAUCUACAUGAUAAUCGGGAAAAUAUGAAUAUCAAUCGGAUUAAUUUACAGUAAUUAGGUUAAAAAAGAGAAUAGAAUUAUUAGAAUACCCAAUUGAAAAUCAUUGGCUCGAUGGAAUCUGCUAGCAACUCAAUCCUCCAAGUUUCCUCCUUCCACAGGGCUUCUUCCCUCAAGCUAGUGAAAGGGAAAGCCACACUCCCCCAAAUCCACAUCAUAUGUAACGCGUUGGUGUUAACAAUCCUCCCUUGAGGAUCCAUCACCACCAACAUUGGUUUCUGGUUGAAGUGCCACACCUCCUUGAUGUACUUGAUCGCUGCUGGAUCAAGCAACGAGGGGUGGAACACUGAAUACCAUGGCAUCAUGUUUCUUACCCCCUCGAACUUGAUCUGGUCCUCAUCGGUCCACGGUGUGGACCGAAGAUUGGGAACCACCGGGAGCCAGACGACUUCGUACUGGCUCUCGGGCCUUGUUGGGCUUUGCUUCGCUUCCCUAUACAUCUGGUCAAGAACCGAUAGCUCCUCUGGAGGGAUGUCGAGGUCCGAAAUGAGAAGCAACACAAUCUUUUUCUUUAGUACCUCGAUUGUAACCUAUAUGAUCAUGCAUGAAAACUAAAUUCGAUUAUUUAUUGUAUAUCUAAAAUCUAAAUAUAUAAUAAAGUUUGAUGAAAAUUAUGCAGUUGAUCCGAUCGAACACUCACCCGAGUCUUUGUAGAGCUUUCAUACAAAGGUGGUUGAUCGUCCUUCAAGUAAAUCAAAUGCCUGAGAGGCUUCGUGUUAUCGAGAUGCCCGGUAUCCAUAAUGCGAAGAAUCGUUAGGUACGCUUCAAUCUGCCUCUUUUCAUCUAAUUAUCAGUGUAAAAAAAUUCAACUUAGUUAUGAAAAUUGAUGCAUACACGUUCAUUAAGUGAUGAUAUGUAACAUUUUUGGUCUUACUAAUGUGGUGAUUGCAAAGGUCUAAUUGGUCUUUGAGAUGAUCAUGAAUAUUGCUGAUCUUGUGGGCCAAACUCGAUAACUCCCAAGCUUCUGUGGUCGUCGUAAUAUGCCUAAGUUAAAAAAAAAAAUGUUAUAUUCAUUGAUAAGUUGUAGUAAUGGAAGUAAUUUGUGUUUUUCUAUGAUGAGGGUAUUUAUGUCUUUUGCAUAGAAAAAAAAAAAGAGAAUUGAUAACAUACUCAUGGCCCAUUCCGAUAAGGUUGAUAAGUAUGGACGCACAAGCCACAAUGCUACGGAUAAUCCAAUAAACCGCAGUGGGAAUAUGAGCGGUGGCCGUCAUUAAUUCCGGUGUUUCGGGGGUGAUAUACUGACCGGGGAGCUCUUUAAAUUCAACAAUGCAACGUGUCAACUCAAGCAUGGCCUUAAUGAGGGUGGUGACAGCCUCAAACCUCGGUUUGAGAGCUUCACCACGCUCAAGCACGUCAGGUAGCUGCUUAAGGUGGGCCAGUGAUUUGGCGAGUGGGUUGGCAGUAUAAAGCUGUGCCACCAACCAAAACUCGCCAUAAUUCACUGCAAAAGCUGCUAAAGAAAUAACAGCUUUUGCAUCCCACUCGUAGUUGGAAAGCAUGUUGAAGAUCCCCGUAGUGCUUGCAUGCGCGUCUCCACCACCAAUACACUUGCAAGAAAUCUGUAACACAUUUCAAAUGUAAAAAAUCUAACACAAAAAAAUAGUUCUCAAAAAUUAAAAUGCAUUUUUUUUUACGGUUUUACCUCGCACGAAACCUUAUUGAUUGUGAUUGCCAUUAUUUCAAGCAUCUCGUCAAGAUCGCUGUAAAUCACACGCUCAAUAAUUGCGUCCACUUCCGCUUGAUUACCCUACAAAUAAAAAAUCAAAUUUCAGAAUUCGAUAUUCGAAUAAAUGUAUGGAUUUUAAUUUAUUACAUACAGGAGGGGCGGGUGGUUGGGUGUUGGCGGGGGCGGCCCUACGCAUGAUGUCAUCGAUGAUCUGUAGAAGAGGUUUAACAUCAAAGGAGGAGCCAUCUGGUGCAUGUGUGGCCAAGAUAUGUUUCAUCAUGGCAUUGUCAUCUGAAGAUGAGAACAUAUGACGGUCGCCUCUUGGACGGCGGCUUGUGCUGGCAGCAGCCAUUGAAGGUGGUGGUGGUGGUUGAAGCAAAGAGAGAUUGAGUUCAGUUUGGUGAAGAAAUAGAAGGUUUUUAGAGCCUUUUAUACACUCCAUAAGUGGAAUAAAGUGAUAGAUGAAUCUUGUACCUUGCUUGUCUAGCUUCAUCUAAACAUAACUUUGGAUUUUUGGAUUUAUCUCUUUAUCUUUUCCCUUUCAAGCUUCCAUUUCUUUAGUUUACUUUCUUUUUUUCGUAUUAUACCAAGCUUGUGAAAAAAAAUGUCUCCAAAAUAGGUGUUAGAACAAAAGGGAAGGGUUUUGUUUAUUUUUUGAUAAUUCAUCGCGUGUUCCUUGCAUGCAUACUUUUUCUUUUCUUCUGGUGGUGCGUCUACUUAUUAAAUAAGCCAAAAGCCGUACCUUACUUUUUUGUUUUUACUUUGAUCCACCCUUAUCCAUCCAAGUACUCAAGAAGCUUGAACAAAACUCUUACAAUAAAAACAAAGGACAAAAGUUUAUUUAUGUAACUAAUUGUCUUAUUUUUGUUAAUUUAGAUGAUGUAAUCUUCUCUAAUAACCCUUUGACCAUCAUAAUAGUUUGUUACCCAAAAUGUUAAUAAAAUCAUAGGUAUGUCAAACUUCAAAGGGCAAGAACAAUAUAGAUCAUAAAAUCAUAGGUAUGUCCGAUCAGUAAUCAAAACAUAACUAAAGUAACAAGGGCAAGAACAAUAUAGAUCAAACUUCAAAGUGUCUCUCUUUAUAUAAAUGUAACAAGUGACAUUGUCAUCUCAAACACAUAUCAAAGAUAGUAUGUUGGGUUGGAAGCCUACCGAGACACAUAGUGCUUAUGAGUUAUGACUCCAUAAUAUAUUUAGAUAUUAAAAUAUGAAUUUCAACAACCUUUGUGAGAAUUUACGCAAAAUUACCAUCAAGGUUUUAAAAUACGGAAUCGGGCCUCAAGGCGUUUACCCCUCGCCUCACGAGGCGUAAGCCUCGAGGCAAAACGAGGCGUAAGCCUCAAGGCGGAAUAAAAUAAUAAUAAUAAUAUAUUAUAUUAAUCAUAAAAAACAUACUAAAGUCCAAUUUCAAACAUAAAAGUCUUACUUAAUGUCAUCAUCCCAAAAAUAAAAAGAUACUAAAAUUCAUAAUAGUCUUCAAAUCGAUUUGGCUAACAACGGGAGUAAGAAGAAACGAGAAGAGAAAAGAAAGAAGAAACGAGAAGAGAAACUCAGAAAAGAAAGAAGAAACCAGAGAAUAAGGAGUGACGGCUGGAGAAAAAUUAGGUUAUAUCAUGUGAUUUCUAAGGUCAAAAAAAAAAAAAAAAAAAAAAAAAAAAAAAAAAAAAAACCCUAUAACGCCUCUUACGCCUCGCCUCGGAACGCCCCGCCUCAGACCGCUUUUCACCGCCUCAAAAGACUAAGGCGUGCGCCUCAUUCUCCCCCUAAGAAGCGUAGCCUCAGAAUCGGUUUUGGUCCGCCUCGCCUCGAGGCGAACGCCUCGACCGAUUUUUAAAACCUUGAUUACCAUGCACUUGACAAUGGAGAACACUACAAAAUGCGUAUGAGAUCAUAUUAGAUGCAUUUUAUUCAUAGUUAGGCAUGAUUAUUUUACAUUUUAGCAUUGCGUUUUGCAUUAUAAUCAACUUCAUGUAUUUUACUAUUUUUGGGGAUUUUGUGCAAUUUUGGUGUUUUGGUGCUUUGUAGGGCAUUGGAAGCUUGGAAUACACUGGGGACUUAAUAGGAAGCUUUCGGAUGAAUUUCUGAAGAAACCAAGAAGUUUGAAAAAUCAUAAAGUGGUCAUUUGACAGAAAGAUACAUGGGCCGAGUAAAAAAAAAUUGUUUAUUAUUUAGAAAAAAAAAUUGAAAAUUAGAAAAGGCAACCAAGAAUUUAAACAUGCCAUGUAAAUUUUAGCAUUUACACUGGUCAUGUAAAAUCCCCCGAAGAGUUUGGUCAUGUAAAAUCCCCCGAAGAGUUUUGACAGUUAUUUUUUGAACACAUUCCAUGAUUCCAACUAAAGAAGAAGGGCGGAUAUUUUUUUUAAGAACUUGGUUGUUGGGAAGCAUUAAAAACAUUUGAAUCUGUGUUUGCAAGUUUAAUUCAUAGUUUAAUUUCAAUAUUUUUGUCUUACUUGUGUUGAUGAGUUUGGAUUAAUGUUGGAAAAUCA
rnacentral:lncRNA from 1 species